GGUUGCUGUUGGACGCUGGGGUGCAACUACAUUCUGGUUGGGCCAUUCACACACACUGAUCUUGUGCAAACAUCUUCUGGGUCGGAAAAGUGAGGGUGACAGCUCUUGAAAUAAGUAGAUGAACAUUCCUUAAAAGGGUGGGGGAAGGUUCUCUGGAGUUCUCAGAAUUAUGUGCUGCAGGGUGGCAGGGUGCAUUAGUCAGAUUAGAUUUUGACCAAUAGAGAUAUUUUCUGAAGGUCAUUUGUGCCCUGCUUACUUCAAUGUUAUUUAACUGUGACUCGUAGUUGGGCUAAAUUGACCCAUUACUCAAGGCUGAACUGAACUCAGGAAAAUUCUCACGAUUCUGGUUAUUGGGAGGAAAUGUUGUCUCUAUCUAAGUGCAGUUUCCCCUCAACACUAUAAUAUUCUCCCCAGGAAAGAGGGCCUCCUGUUUCUUUUCAAAUGUUGGGGGCUUGCCAGGCCAACAGGUGUCUCCUGGGAUCCUCUGAAACGGUAUGUAUCACUGAUUCUCAAAAGAGGAAAAUUAAGGAGUGUCAAAAAGAGAACGAGAGAGAAGCAGGAUGCUCUGGAGAAUGAAAGAUGCUGUACAUUCUGUAAAUCAUUUUGCUGGUUUCAAUAGAAAGUCCAGACCAAGUGGAAUAAAGUGCAUUUUGUGGGUCAGAUGUAAAAGACAGAAGAGACCUGCCCAAAGAAACAUUCCGUGGUACCAGAGGAAAUCGAGCACCAAGAGGCCUUUUUAUCCCCCCUAUACUCAAAGAUGAAAACUAGACUAGGGUCCCUUUUCAAGGUAAAAUGACAGGCAGGUCCAUUAAGCUGCUGUGAAAUUGUUCCCCAUCCUGCAAAUUCAUCCACCAGACCGGGCCCUGCAUCUUACUCAUCCUCAUGUCUCCAUUGUCUGAUAUAAGACCUGGCACAAAUUGGUACUUCCUGCUUGUUAGUGAAACUCAAUAUAUCACACAAUUAAGUACUUUUCCAUUUUAAGAUUGAACAGUAAACCUACCCUGUCUCCCUCUGUUCUCUGCUCUAACUCCUAGUUUGCUGUGGUGAUCACCCUUUAGUGUCUUAACAAGAUUCAAGGCACUGUUCACAUCCCACUAAAUUAGUUCCCUAUGGUUCCUAUAACAAAUUACUACAGACUUAGUGGCUUAAACCAACAGGGGUUUAUUAUGUUAUAGUUCUAGAGGUCAGAAAUCCAAAAUGGUUUUCAUUGGCCUAAAAUCAAGGUGUCAGCUGGGCCAUGUUCCUUCUGGAGGCUCUAGGGAAGAAUCCAUUUUUUUUUGUUUGUUUGUUUUUUGGAUUCUGCUUGCAUUCCUUGGCUCAAAUCUCCCCAGCUCAAGGCUCUUAACUUAAUCACACCUGUAAAAUCCUUUUGGUCAUGCAAAGUAAUAUAUUGACAGGUCCAAGGGAUUAGAACAGGGUCAUCUUGGGGGUGUGGGGAGCAUCAUUCUGUCUACCAAAACCACAGAACCACAGCUCUUCAGGCCAAAAACCUAGGGGUUUUUCAUGAUUCUCUUCUUCCCCUCAAUCUUUACGUCCAAUCUGCCAAUAAAUCUGGUUGGUUUAACAUCCAGAAUAUAUCCUGAAUCUAAUGACUUUUCACCUUCUCUUUUGAACAGUCUUAUCCAGGCUACCAUCAAUUUUUGCUUGAAUGACUUCAGUAGCUCCCUAAUUAUUCUUCUUACUUCUAUUCUUACUCCUCCCUCUAGCAGAACAGUCUAUUGCACAGAAAUAAUAAUAGAAAAGGAACCUUAAGAAAAAGAACACAGACCACGUCAUUCCAUCGCCCAAAGCACUCCAGUGGGUUUCUUCCCAUCAUGGCUAGAAAUUUUCCAGAUUCCCGAUUGUGCCUCCCUCUCCCAGAUUAUGCACCAUCUGCUUACUUCUCUGACCUAGGCUAUGUGCCAUCUGACUACUUCUCUGACCUCAUUUACUGUUGUCCCCUUCACUUCCUUGCUCCAGUCGUAUUUGCCUUAUUGUUGUUGUUUUUUAAAUGUACCCAGCCCACUGUCACCUCAGGGCCUUUGCACUUGUUAAUCCCCCUCCUUCCAGCUCUGCUUAAGACCUCUCCUCCUUUGCUUCAGCCUCUUCUCCUCAGAUCACCUCUUCAGGCUUUGCCUGACUCCCCUAUUCAAAAUACCUGCCUUCCCCAUCCCUUUUACUCCAUUCCUUUAGCUUAUUUUAUUUUUCUUUCUGAAAUUUUUCCAUUGUUGAAAUUAUUUGACCAUUUUUCUUGUUUGUUAUUUUAUCCUCAUACAGUUUUAAAUUCUAGGAGAGCAGUGUCUGCCAAAUUCUCUACAUACUGACUAGUAAAUGGUUCAGGUAGGUGUUUAAUGAAUAUUCAAAUGAAUGAAUGGAUUUCUGAUUUAAUCAAUCCUCACAACAACUGUUUAAGGUAAAUACAGUUUUUGGAGUCAGGAAGAUAUGGGUUUGAGUCUGGCUUUGUCACUUAUUAGCUAAAAGAACCUUGGACAAGUUACUCUACCAUGCUGAACUAUUGUUUUCUUAGGCGACAAUGGGAACUAAGAUAGGGGUUUACUAUAAGUCCAAAUGAGAGAGAGUGAUGAAACUUCAAGGAGUGAUAGUUGAAGUAUUCCAUCACAUUAAUUUCUUCUGACACUGGAAUGACUAAGAACUUAGGGUCCUGAGGUGGAAAGAUUUGUACUUUUCCAUAUCUGGUUCUCUUUUUCCUAAACACUCAGGAAGACUUCACUUCCCAGCCUCCUUGGAGUCAGGUGGGGCCAUGCGAUCAGUUCUAGCCAAUGAAAUGUGUGGGGGAGAAUUGUCCCCAAGUGCUUGGAAUCAUACCAAUGUCCCUCUGUUUCUGUAGAGUUCUAACAUGCUUGAAUCCUACCAUUCAUUCUCCUGCGAGCUAUCUCAGCACUCCUGGUAAAGAAAGACCUCCUUUGUUUUUUCCCUUUGGAUUUCUGUGAAUCCAGGAGGCAGGCAAGAAUGCAGGUUUGUGGGCAGAACAGAGAGGAAGAGAAGCUUGGAGGUACUGUGGCCAGCACAAAUGAGUGGAUCUCAGGGAUUGCUGAAUUGGUAGGAGGUGGCAUUCCUUUCACCAGACACUCUGUUUCUACUGCAGGUACCAAAUCAUAAAGGACUGUCCUGCUUUUCUCUCAAGUGUAAGAUAUUGUGUUGCUACGAUUUGAUAAUCUGAUGGGAUAUAGGAUGGGACACCAAAAUCUUGUGAACUUGUAUUCAGUGAGAUAUGAAGAAAAGAGUUUCCACAGUCAAAUAAGUAGGAAAAUGCUGUAUACUCUGUCAACAAGAAGUCCUGCAGGAAAGAAACCUAUCUAACUUAGUUUAAUCUGGCAUUUUAAAAAUUUACUGUAUUUUGGUUGGGAGUGGUGGCUCAAGCCUGUAAUCCUAGCACUUUUGGAGGCCAAGGCGGGAGGAUCAUGAGGUCAGGAGAUGGACACCAUCCUGGCUAACACGGUGAAACCCCGUCUCUACUAAAAAAUACAAAAAAAUUAGCCAGCUGUGGUGGCGGGCGCCUGUAGUCCCAGCUACUUGGGAGGCUGAGGCAGGAGAAUGGCCUGAACCCAGGAGGCAGAGCUUGCAAUGAUCCAAGAUCGCACCACUGUACUCCAGCCUGGGUGACAGAACGAGACUCCAUCUCAAAAAAAAAAAAAAAAAAAUUACUGUAUUUCAGGCUUAUAUAAUGCAUUUCCUUCCUUGCCAUGAAAGAAUAAGAAUCCAAACAUUCCCAUGAACUAAAUGCUCAGGCGUGGAUGAAUGAAUGAAAAUCCAAGGCAAAAUAAUACAUGUCUACUCCCUUAGUGGUAAAACAGGCAAUCCCAAAACAUAGCAGUAAAGAUACAAUGUUUUCACAGUACAUCAAAGUUUUCCUAUAAAAAAUAGCAAGUCAAAGUUCACAUAGUUGCUUAGGUGAUUUUCCCCUAACACUUUGAACUUAAAUAUAAUUACUACUAACCCUACUAACUCUAGCAUGUGCUAGCAUUUAGUAAGAUCAAUAUAUAUUUUUCCAGCUGUGUGAUUUUCAUAUUGCCCCCUGCCUAGGGGCUUAUAAGAUAUCACUACAUAUUCAGACUUCAUUAUUUCCUACUAGGAUUCCACUGUACAACAAUCCAUGCUUACAAAAAUAAUUUUCCAUUAUAAAAUCACUUUUUAAAACGUAUGAUGAAAAGUAAUUCUUGCAUAUAAUUUCUGUAUAAAAUUGGGUGACGUCUCAUAUAACUGGUGAAUUUUACACAUCAGAAAAUAUAGUAUUUCACCACAGAACCCUUCUUUCCCCCUUCCCUGAGCUAUUUUUAACAUCUCACAGACCUUACUCCUCCAUGAAACACAUUUUGGAAUAUCUGAUGUAAAAGUUAUUUCUAUGUAGGCUGCUUUUGUUUCCCAGAGGUAAAAUUUGUGAUCUUGGCUGAGUUAUUUCUUUGUGGGUCUCAGUUUCCUUAUUUAAAAGGAGCUACUAAUACAGUUAAAGCCUAGAGCCUUUCAUUUCCAACAUUCUUUCAUUCUGAGGGUGCUGACGUCAUUUUAUAUAAAGCUAGGCUGCCUAAUGCCCACCCACGUCGUUCAAUGAAAGAAAGUUUAUUAAAACUUCUUCUGAGAGUCAUAAUUCUAUCGAGGAGGCAAUCUAAUAAGAGCAUUAAGACAUUGGCUGUGGAGUAGAAUAACCUGGGUGUUAAUUGCAGGUCCACCACUAACUGACUGGCUGUGCACUCUUGAACAAGUGAUUACUUUUUAGCUAAAUCUGUAAAAUGAGGAGGGUACCAUUAUCCACCUUUAGAGUUUUGAGGUUUAAAUGAGAUAAAAUUUAAGAUUCUUAGUACAGCGCCUGGAAGAUCCUAGCUACUCAAUGAAUUAUGUUGAAUGUUGUGUCUUAGAUUAAAUUAGUGUAAAGCCAGAAAGAAUGCAGUGUCAAGAGAACAGCCUGCUUUUCUCCACCUGCUCUUUCCAGAAUGACAAACACACUGGGUAGGAGAGAGAACAGUGUUCUCUCCAUGCCCCCUUGAACAACUCUGCAUGUUGGAGCAGGCCAAGAGGAGAUGUCCAUUUCCUGGGAAGAAGACUGAAGGUUUUCUUAACAGUGGGGGCUUUCAACACCCUGAGAUUAGGAUUAUCCAACCACCAAAUGAUGAUCCAUACCUUGCAGAGGGUUUUAUUGAGUGCUACGGAACCUACCUUGAGAUAUAAGCGGGGCACGGGCCCUGGAACCUGUCAAGAACGUUGAGUCCGGAUUGAGAGUCUCUUUGAGUUUGAUUCAGCGAGGGGUUAUCUACCUCACACCUCCUUCCGUACCAGUCUUACCUGCCACUGCAGAGAGCCAUUCAAAGGACAGGGCCAGACUAAAUUCCUGUGGGCCCUUCUCCCCGAGGUAAGAGAUAGGAUCAAUGGAUGGGGUAGGUGGAAUUGGCCAUUGUUUGGAAACAGCUAAGCCAUGUCCCCCCAAAGAACAUCAGUAAUGAUACUCAUGGGAGAGACCUAGUGGCUUUCACUGAGGCCAUGCAUGACCAGGAAAGACAGACAAUACAGGCUAGGGGUCGAAUUCAGUGGUUCAUCUCAACAACAAUAAGGAAUAUGUGUUGGGGGUGGGUGCUUGUGGUUCAUUCCAAGGAAGACAUGGAAUAUGGGCUGGAAAGAGGGGUGUGGGUGGUUUGUUUCAAGAAGGAUACGAAGUUUGGGCUGGAAGGUAGGUCCUUCUAAAAGGGAUAAGGAGUAUGGGCUAUGGGUAUUGGUUGGAGGUUCAUUUGGAAAUAAGACAUCUUUUCUGGAAAGGCACGCAGGAAGAAAAAUAUAUCAUGUUGAAGAGGACAGUGACUUGGAGAACUCGCUGUGUUGCCCAGGCUAGUCUCAAACUCCUCCACUCAAGUAAUCCUGCUGAGGCCUCCCAAAGUGCUGGGAUUACACACCCAGCCAGAGGGCAGUUUUUGAGUUACUGUGCUAACUUCCGAUACCAGUUCUUCCACUUAUUAUCUGGGUCUCCUCGGACAGUUUGCUUAACCUGUAAAUGUUUCAUCAAAUAUAAAAUGGGGAUAAUUCC